UGCCAGCCGCCGCGGUAAUACGGAGGGUGCAAGCGUUAUCCGGAAUCACUGGGCGUAAAGCGCGCGUAGGCGGUUAGAUCAGUUGGGUGUGAAAGCCCCGGGCUCAACCUGGGAACUGCAUUCAAUACUGUCUGACUGGAGUAUGGGAGAGGGCAGUGGAAUUCCAUGUGUAGCGGUGAAAUGCGUAGACAUGUGGAGGAACACCAGUGGCGAAGGCGACUGCCUGGACCGAUACUGACGCUGAGACGCGAAAGCGUGGGGAGCAAACAGGAUUAGAUA
rnacentral:rRNA from 1 species